rnacentral:ncRNA from 1 species
CUGCGUGCAGUGCGCCGCGACUGCUGCCGGUCGCGAGGGCGGUGAUUUCGUACUAUGCACCCACGACGUUGGCGGUCAUAUGGCCUCAUCCGACCCGUCUUGAAACACGGACCAAGGAGUCUAACAUGUGUGCGAGUCUUUGAGUGACCGAAACUCCGAGGCGUAAUGAAAGUGAAGGCGACUCCGGUCGCUGAGGUGAGAGCCUUUUUCCAAAAAAAAAAGGCGCAUCAUUGACCGCGUCGGCCAAGUCAUCCAUGGCUCUAAGCUCGGGCAAAGUAACCGUCGUCGCACGGCGCGGCGAUACAUCUCUAGAAGAUCGCGACGACGAAGCA